rnacentral:rRNA from 1 species
AGGGAAAGCUGGCGGCAUGCCUUACACAUGCGAGUCGAACGGUAACAGGUCUUCGUACGCUGACUAGUGGCGAACAGGUGAGUAAUGCAUCGGAACGUGCCCAGUCGCUGUGGAUAACUGCUCGAAAGAGCAGCCCAUACCGCAUACGACCUGAUGUUUAAAGCGGCGUGCCGUAAUGCCUCGCGCGAUUUUUGCUGUCGAUGUCAGAUUAGCUAGUUGGUGGGGUAAAGGCCUACCAAGGCAACGAUCUGUAGUUGGUCUGAGAGGACGACCAGCCACACUGGGACUGAGACACGGCCCAGACUCCUACGGGAGGCAGCAGUGGGGAAUUUUGGACAAUGGGCGCAAGCCUGAUCCAGCAAUGCCGCGUGCAGGAAGAAGGCCUUCGGGUUGUAAACUGCUUUUGUCAGGGAAGAAAUAAUCUGGGAUAAUACCCCGGGAGGAUGACGGUACCUGAAGAAUAAGCAACGGCUAACUACGUG